rnacentral:rRNA from 1 species
UGCAAGUCGAGCGGUAGAGAGAAGCUUGCUUCUCUUGAGAGCGGCGGACGGGUGAGUAAUGCCUAGGAAUCUGCCUGGUAGUGGGGGAUAACGUUCGGAAACGGACGCUAAUACCGCAUACGUCCUACGGGAGAAAGCAGGGGACCUUCGGGCCUUGCGCUAUCAGAUGAGCCUAGGUCGGAUUAGCUAGUUGGUGAGGUAAUGGCUCACCAAGGCGACGAUCCGUAACUGGUCUGAGAGGAUGAUCAGUCACACUGGAACUGAGACACGGUCCAGACUCCUACGGGAGGCAGCAGUGGGGAAUAUUGGACAAUGGGCGAAAGCCUGAUCCAGCCAUGCCGCGUGUGUGAAGAAGGUCUUCGGAUUGUAAAGCACUUUAAGUUGGGAGGAAGAGCAGUUACCUAAUACGUGAUUGUUUUGACGUUACCGACAGAAUAAGCACCGGCUAACUCUGUGCCAGCAGCCGCGGUAAUACAGAGGGUGCAAGCGUUAAUCGGAAUUACUGGGCGUAAAGCGCGCGUAGGUGGUUAGUUAAGUUGGAUGUGAAAUCCCCGGGCUCAACCUGGGAACUGCAUUCAAAACUGACUGACUAGAGUAUGGUAGAGGGUGGUGGAAUUUCCUGUGUAGCGG